UACACUCCUACGGGAGGCAGCAGUGGGGAAUAUUGCACAAUGGGCGCAAGCCUGAUGCAGCCAUGCCGCGUGUAUGAAGAAGGCCUUCGGGUUGUAAAGUACUUUCAGCGGGGAGGAAGGCGAUAAGGUUAAUAACCUUGUUGAUUGACGUUACCCGCAGAAGAAGCACCGGCUAACUCCGUGCCAGCAGCCGCGGUAAUACGGAGGGUGCAAGCGUUAAUCGGAAUUACUGGGCGUAAAGCGCACGCAGGCGGUCUGUCAAGUCGGAUGUGAAAUCCCCGGGCUCAACCUGGGAACUGCAUUCGAAACUGGCAGGCUAGAGUCUUGUAGAGGGGGGUAGAAUUCCAGGUGUAGCGGUGAAAUGCGUAGAGAUCUGGAGGAAUACCGGUGGCGAAGGCGGCCCCCUGGACAAAGACUGACGCUCAGGUGCGAAAGCGUGGGGAGCAAACAGGAUUAGAUACCCCUGUAGUCCCA
rnacentral:rRNA from 1 species